rnacentral:rRNA from 1 species
UACGGAGGGAGCUAGCGUUAUUCGGAAUUACUGGGCGUAAAGCGCACGUAGGCGGCUUUGUAAGUAAGAGGUGAAAGCCCAGAGCUCAACUCUGGAAUUGCCUUUUAGACUGCAUCGCUUGAAUCAUGGAGAGGUCAGUGGAAUUCCGAGUGUAGAGGUGAAAUUCGUAGAUAUUCGGAAGAACACCAGUGGCGAAGGCGGCUGACUGGACCAUGUAUUGACGCUGAGGUGCGA